rnacentral:lncRNA from 1 species
AGCUGGUUAGCAGAGCCAGGUCUGAAAUCAGAAAUUCUGCCUCCCAUGCAUAUCUAUUGCAUGUAUGUGUCGGUACAAAUAUGCAGAUAAGGAGCACAAACACUCACACAGAAUAAAUGCUCUCUGUGUAGAUUGACUUCUCAGUGUGCUUGAAUUUAAUUUCUAGUUUAAAUUUUACUUCUGGAAUAACAACCUUGUUUUUUAUCUGUUUUCUUUAAACUGCCAACUGUAAUGUCACAGGCAACCUUGAUUCAUGGGAGGGCACUGGAGGCGGAUCUAGAGAAAUGACUUUGAGUCUCACUCAUCAAACCUCUGUCUCUCCCACCCCCUCAGUCCCUCCCACAGAGCCUAUACUGUUGUUAUACUCUGCACCAUUCCAAACCCUUAUGUUGAGAAACAGGGCAAAUUCACUUGAUAGUGUGAAUUCAUUAGUGUUUUGAAAUCUAUGUAUUUUAUACAUAUAUAUAUACACACAUAUAUAUAUGCACACAUAUGUACAUAUAUUCUAUAUGUGCAUAUAGAAUAUAUACAUCUAGCAAGAAGGCUCAUACAUGCAAUUUCAUUUUUCCUUAAAAGUAUAAAUGUGUAUCUAAAUAGUUACUAUACCUUUUGAGAUAAUAAGGAAGACAGUGCCACUGAGUUUAAAGAGAUCUGUAAUGACAAAUGAACAAAUUAAUAAAAAUUAAAUAAAAAUGGUAUAGCAGCUUACUCUUUGCUACACUAUGAGUAGGUUUCUGUUGCAUUCCUCAGUCAUCAGAAUGAUAUCAAAUCUAAAAUGUAAGUGCUUUCUGUCCACAUUACAACCUAAUAUUCAGCUCUUUGCUUUUCUUCCGGCAACCUGCUGCCCACCCAUCUCUAACUGAGGACAAGAAGCACUAUUAAUCAUUCUUUUGCUUAUUAUGGAACUGAAAUUUUCUCAGAGCCUCUGGCCCCCCAGGGCAUUGGGAACUUGCUCAGGCAGACCACCCAGGAUUCCACAGAGAAGUGGUCAGUCUGAAUGAAGGCGAUUGGUCUCCUGCUCAGGUUUCUGUUAAGACCCAUUAACUCUGCCUUGACGGCACUUCAGAGCAUUAACUGCUUCCUUCCCAAGUCUUUCCUGGCUCUAAAGUUUUUGAAUGUUCCAAAGAAUUAGUGCUAUUAUGGGCCCAGCAGUUCUGGUUCUGAUGAGAGAACACCACCCCAGAAAAACUACAGGGUAGGAUCCAGGUCAGGGCCAAGAAGUUCCAGCAGAUACCCCUUAGAAAACUGAGAAGUACUCUGUAUUAUGGAAUUGAAGAUACAGCUUUUUUUUUUAGGGGCUUUAGGAAGACUCCUCUGAUAUCGCAAUGGCUCCCUCCAUUUGUUUUCCAGUGACUGAAAAUUUGCUAUGUCUUUUUACCUAAGAUCUUACCACCUGUGAAAGUGAAAAUACUCUUGGGAGAAUGAGCAUAUCAAGACUUAUGAAUGAAGUAAACCUUUGAAUGAGAGAACUGACCAGAUUCAUUCUAAGUACGAGCUUCGAUAGAAGUCGGUACAAGAAGAAAGGGAGAUUGGAUUUGAUGAAAAUACUUAAUAAAGGUUAGGGGAAAUUAAGGACUUUAAGAGAAAGAGCAGAGAGCACAGGAGUAAGAGAACAAGCACCAGUGAAGAGGGAAGGGGAAAGAAGGAAAGGGAAGGAAUGAAUUUGUCCACAGAUGUGGGGUAACUAAGGGAUUGAAAUGGAACCUCUCUGUUUCCUGCUGUGUCACAUGAAGCCAUGUCCCUUUUGGCUUCAAGUUUGCUUUUCCGUAGUUGUAUUUUCCAAGUAGCUAUUGAAAUAGUGUUGUGAAAUAUACCAGGAGCUAUUUCUAAGUUGUGGUUCUAGUGUAACCCAUAGGAAUUGUUUCUAAAACUCUGGGGGCAAAAAAGACCGUAUCUCUUAUUUUUCUUCAGAAACACCUAUAUUCCUCUUUUGCAUCUGUUCCUAGGGAUUUACACAACCUAAUCAAGUUGUAGGUCUGAUUUCUAUAUCCAAGGAGGAUAAAUUUGGGCUUUGGUUCCUGUGAUGCUACACAGUGUGGUUAUUAACAAGUAAGUCCUUUCAUUAACCUUAAAAAUGUUUGUUGGUCAUCUUUGAGAGAGGAUGGAAGGAAGAUGGAGAGAGAAGACUAAGCUUAGAAUGCCUAGGAUCAUCCCAGAGUCAUUGCUCUUAGGGCUUGGCUCUUUCAGUCACAUACACAGGUGUCCCCCAAGGUACCCACAACCCCAGACACACUGCAUCAGUCUAGUUAGCCCCUCCUACCAAGGGCCUGAUAUAUCUACCCUGUCUUUUAUGUGGAUCUGUCCUGUAAUCAUUGGGUAAAAUUUCCUUCUCAAUUCUUGAAAUCUGGAAAGUCUCCUUACAUCCCUUUCUUUCACAAUAAAGCUAACCAUUCAGUUUCCCAAGAGGAAUUCCAAUCCUACCCACUUUCAUCAAUGAGGUGGAGUUGGUACUAAAUUUUGUAGCUCAGAGGUGAAUUAUCCUCGUAAGGAUUAUCAAAGAGACCUUUCAGCAUCUCUUCUCACCAUAGCUUAGGAGAAACAACCAAAUUUCAGCAGGCUAUCCCUUUACUCUGGGUACUUCCGUGGUCAAUUUUGUUAGUAAUGACCUUGAAAUCCUUAUGCAUGUUUUUUGUUUGUUUGUUUGUUUUUUGUUUUUUUGUUUGUUUGUUUGUUUUGUUUUCCAAUUGGAAGAGAUUUGAAGAUUUUCCAAUCUAGGGCUAGCAAAUAGACUUCAGAAUGAUGCUAAUUUCCUCUCCCAUGUCAUACUUCACUAAUCAAUCAUAAGACUCCUUCCUGAUGAACUCCUAUUCAACCUUGAAAUCCUUCCCAGUGUUACACUCUAGAAAGACACUCCCAAUUGAUCAGAAUUGAUAAGCAAGAUGAAACCUAUUUGCCAUCCAGAUCCAUCCUGGUCUCCUUUCUAUUUGAGAGAGAGAGAAAGAGAGAGAGGGAGGAAGGGAGGGGAGUGAAGGAGGGAGGAAGGAAAAGAAGAAUAAGUGCUUUGCCAAGGUCAUAUAAGCUUUUUUGGUAUCAUUAAGUACAAUUUCGGUUAUGCCAGCCUUUUACACUUUAAUCAUUUAAUGUUAAUAGUUUUCACUCCACAGAGCUUAUAUUGUAGAAUAAAUUCUCCCUAGAAACAGUCUUGUGUGAUAAGUUUGCAUCAUUUUGCAAUAUAAAGAAUAUGAACCCCAUUAGAAUGAGGGUCUUUGCAGUCAUUUAGUUUCCAAACAACUUCUCUGUCAUUGAGAACAGAGCCAAUAAUCCCACAGACUCACAAACUGAGAAGUGAUGGUAUGAUUAGGUUUCAGUUCUUUAAUAAUUGUGAGUUCAUGAAUGCCAGAUGGGCUCAACUCUAAACUUUCAGUUGUCACUCUCAGCAGAAGAGGCUGAAAAGGGUCAAGUGCGUAGGCUCAUCCUUCAGUUAUUUUGGAAUUAAUGGUUCACUUAGGCUGGAUCUGCAUAAUGCCACAUCACCUCAUUGAACAGUGAAAAAUUAGGUCAAUCACCUAGCUAUUUUGAUGCCCAAUAAAAAGUCAUCAAUGUUUCCAUUGUGAGCAUUAAGCCUAAACUGUGGAAAUCAAUUUAGGUAUGUAUGAACAACAAAUACUGAUCCAAUAAUACUAAUACAUGCUAUUUAAUGAGUACCUUUUGUAAACUGGGUUCAAUGCUAAGCACUAGCGCUUUAAACAUAUUCUUGUGUAAACCUCACAACAACAGUAUGAGGCAAAUGCUAUUUUCCUUGUUUUAGAUAUGAGGAAUCAGAAUCACAUUUGUCUUUUUUAUUUAAAAUGUGGAUUAUAUAUUUAAUAAAAAUAUUCUUUUAUACUCUGGUUAACUGUAAGCCUAAGGAGUUUCUAUGAGAAAAUUGAUCAAGUAUUAGGGUCUUGACAUGCUCUUAGUGCUUUGGUUUCUAAAAUUCUUUAUGGUAAAGAGUGAAUUUAGAGAAACAGCCUAGAGAUCUGGAAUGCUGAGGUCAUUCAGCAGAAUUGAGACCUUGGUCAGCAAGGACUCUUUACUUUGAGACUUCCAUUUCCUGAUACCCACAUGACUUGAAACCACAGUGACAGAUUUAGAUCCUAUUUGCAUUCGUCCUCCCAUUUAGAGGAGCUGUGUCAUAUUGGUGCCAUGGAAGAAAACAGAGAGGGUAGUCUAGAUAUGUCACUUGCCAAGAUCAUCCAUAAAAAGGUACAUGAUCCAGGAAAGUUAUGCUACUUAUUGCCAACCCUUCAACAUUUUUUAUACACAUGAAAUGACUAAAGUAAACAAAGAGGGAAGCCUUGCAGGGAAAAGAAGUUGAAAGUAGUCAAUGAGUAAUUUAAGAGGAGGAGCAUGAGAAGUAGUGUGCCAAUCAUUUUAAUAUCUGUAGAUAAAAUCCCUCAUUUACACCAACCAGUUGCCUCCUUGAGGUAGCAAUAAGUUCUGGGAGAUGAGGCUCCCUCCAAUGUUUGGAGCUCAGAUAAUAGCUCAGCACCUCCCUCCCCUUUCUUGACUACAUACUUUAGACAUAGAUAAAUCUACAUGCCACAUGUAUUUCUUGGUCAGGACAUGGGGAAAAUGCUGUGAGGAGAGAUUUGUCUUAGCAUAUAAGGCUUAUCUGAGAUGGCAUAUAAAGCCAUCUCUCCAGGCAUGUGCUUUGGAGAAGGGCAUGAAGAUGGUAGUAAGUAUUGUAUGUGUGUGUAAAACUUCUCAAGGCCAGAAGAUGCAACUGAAGGAAGAAAGAGUAGGCAUGCAGGUAGGAAAGGGGAAAUAUCACAGAAAAUAGAAACUAGACAAAGACCUUUAUGACACUGAGAUAGAUUCUUAAGAAAUAUUUGGUCAGUAUAGUUGUUUGGCCAGGGGGAACAGACAAAAAGUGUCUUCUUCCCUUCCAGAUCAAAUCCAACUCCCUAGCAGUCUGAGAGAUGCACCCAGUAUGGGCUCAUUCAGAGUUUUAGAAAAUCUUAUCUUCUAGUUGCCUAGCAUGGAAAAACCAGGGAUCAAAAUAUAUCAGCAUGAUAAAAAUGAUAUAUGCAGGAGUUCUUCUCGUGGCUCAGUGAUUAAAGAACCCGACUAGUAUCCAUGAGGAUGUGGAUUUGAUCCCUGGCCUCGCUCAGUAGGUUAAGGAUCGGGCAUUGCUCUGACCUGCAGUGUAGGUUGCAGAUGCAGCUCGGAUCUGGCAUUGCUGUGGCUGUGGUAUAGGUCGGCAGCUGCAGCUCCAGUUUGA